AUUGAGUCUAAAACGUUCGUAGCCGGUCCGGUAAAUCCCUGGGUAAAUCGGGAAGCUCAACUUCCCGAAUUCCGGGGAGACUGCCGGACUUGGGACCGGGAGAGGCUAGAGGUACUUCUGGGGUAGGGGUAAAAUCCUGUAAUCCUGGAAGGACCACCGGUGGCGAAGGCGUCUAGCUAGAACGGAUCCGACGGUGAGGGACGAAGCCCUGGGUCGCAAACGGGAUUAGAUACCCCGGUAGUCCAGGGUGUAAACGCUGCAGACUUGGUGUUGGGGGCCCUUCGGGGGCGUCCAGUGCCGGAGAGAAGUUGUUAAGUCUGCUACUUGGGGAGUACGUCCGCAAGGAUGAAACUUAAAGGAAUUGG
rnacentral:rRNA from 1 species